UCAAUUGGGGGCUGAACCGAGGAAUUUUCCUAAACCAAACAUAAAUUUGCAAUUAUCUUCAACUUUGGGGCUUGACUGUUGGGGAGCUUGAUCGUGACUGUUAGGUUAUUUUUGCUGUGAACUAAUCUCCAGGCGAAGGUAAAGGUAGAGGAAAGCUGGUGAGCGACAGAGAAGGAUCCGUGACAUGCCAUAUGGGGACUCAGUUUUGCUUCCGUG